rnacentral:rRNA from 1 species
AACGAACGCUGGCGGCAUGCCUAACACAUGCAAGUCGAACGAGACCUUCGGGUCUAGUGGCGCACGGGUGCGUAACGCGUGGGAACCUGCCCUUAGGGUCGGAAUAACUCCCCGAAAGGGGUGCUAAUACCGGAUAAUGUCUUAGGACCAAAGAUUUAUUGCCUUUGGAUGGGCCCGAGUUGGAUUAGCUAGUUGGUAGGGUAAAAGCAUCCUAAGGCGACGAUUCAUAGCUUGGAAGUGAGGAUGAUUAGCCACACUGAGACUGGGAAACGGCCCGGAAUCCUACGCGAAGCAGGAGUGGCGAAUAUUGGAAAGUGGGCGAAGGCAUGAUCCGGCACGGCCGCGUAAGUGAUGAAAGCCUUAGAGUUGUAAAGCUCUUUUACCCGGGAUGAUAAUGACGGUACCGGGAGAAAAAGCUCCGGCUAACUCCGUG